rnacentral:rRNA from 1 species
GAUGAACGCUAGCGGCAGGCCUAACACAUGCAAGUCGAGGGGUAGCAGGAUUAAGCUUGCUUAAUUGCUGACGACCGGCGCACGGGUGCGUAACGCGUAUGCAACCUACCUUAUACUGGGGUAUAGCCCGGAGAAAUUCGGAUUAAUCCCCCAUAGUACUAAUGAAUCGCAUGGUUUAUUAGUUAAAGCAUUGCGGUAUAAGAUGGGUAUGCGUCCUAUUAGCUAGAUGGUGAGGUAACGGCUCACCAUGGCUACGAUAGGUAGGGGGCCUAGGAGGGGGGUCCCCCAAACUGGUACUGAGACAGGGACCAGACCCCUACGGGAGGCAGAAGUGAGGAAUAUGGGUCAAUGGGCGAAAGCAUGAACCAGCCAGGACGCGUGCAGGAAGAAUGCCCUAUGGGUUGUAAACUGCUUUUAUUUGGGAAUAAACCUCUUCACGUGUAGAGAGCUGAAGGUACCAAAUGAAUAAGCACCGGCUAACUCCGUGCCAGCCGCCGCCGUAA